AGUUUGAUCCUGGCUCAGGAUGAACGCUGGCGGCGUGCCUAAUACAUGCAAGUCGAACGAAUCUCUUCGGAGAUGAGUGGCGAACGGGUGAGUAAUACAUAGGUAACCUGCCCCUGUGCGGGGGAUAACAGGAGGAAACUCCUGCUAAUACCGCAUAGCCAUGAGCACCGCAUGGAGCUCAUGCCAAAUAUCCUUUCGGGGAUAGCGCAGGGAUGGACCUAUGGCGCAUUAGCUUGUUGGCGGGGCAACGGCCCACCAAGGCAACGAUGCGUAGCCGGCCUGAGAGGGCGGACGGCCACAUUGGGACUGAGACACGGCCCAGACUCCUACGGGAGGCAGCAGUAGGGAAUUUUCGGCAAUGGGGGAAACCCUGACCGAGCAACGCCGCGUGAGCGAAGAAGGCCUUCGGGUCGUAAAGCUCUGUUGUAAAGGAAGAACGGCGCAUACAGGAAAUGGUAUGCGAGUGACGGUACUUUACCAGAAAGCCACGGCUAACUACGUGCCAGCAGCCGCGGUAAUACGUAGGUGGCGAGCGUUAUCCGGAAUCAUUGGGCGUAAAGAGGGAGCAGGCGGCCGCAAGGGUCUGUGGUGAAAGACCGAAGCUAAACUUCGGUAAGCCAUGGAAACCGGGCGGCUAGAGUGCGGAAGAGGAUCGUGGAAUUCCAUGUGUAGCGGUGAAAUGCGUAGAUAUAUGGAGGAACACCAGUGGCGAAGGCGACGGUCUGGGCCGCAACUGACGCUCAUUCCCGAAAGCGUGGGGAGCAAAUAGGAUUAGAUACCCUAGUAGUCCACGCCGUAAACGAUGGUCACUAAGUGUCGGGGGUCAAACCCCGGUGCUGCAGUCAACGCAAUAAGUGACCCGCCUGAGU
rnacentral:rRNA from 1 species